rnacentral:piRNA from 1 species
UCCAGGGUGACGUCUUGUGAUUAAAGUUGU